AGUGAACGCUGGCGGUAGGCCUAACACAUGCAAGUCGAACGGCAGCACAGUAAGAGCUUGCUCUUACGGGUGGCGAGUGGCGGACGGGUGAGGAAUACAUCGGAAUCUACUUUUUCGUGGGGGAUAACGUAGGGAAACUUACGCUAAUACCGCAUACGACCUACGGGUGAAAUCAGGGGUUCUUCGGACCUUGCGCGUUUGAAUGAGCCGAUUUCGGAUUAGCUAGUUGGCGGGGUAAAGGCCCACCAAGGCGACGAUCCGUUGCUGGUCUGAGAGGAUGAUCAGCCAGACUGGAACUGAGACACGGUACAGACUCCUACGGGAGGCAGCAGUGGGGAAUAUUGGACAAUGGGCGCAAGCCUGAUCCAGCAAUACCGCGUGGGUGAAGAAGGACUUCGGGUUGUAAAGCCCUUUUGUUGGGAAAGAAAAGCAGCAGGUUAAUACCCCGCUGUUCUGACGGUACCCAAAGAAUAAGCACCGGCUAACUUCGUG
rnacentral:rRNA from 1 species